CAGCUCAGUCUUCAGGAGAACCCCCCCCAAAGGGCCCGCGGCAAGGGCCUGCAGGAGCCGGCAGGGGAACGAGCCCCAGGAACGCCUGGAAUCGGAGGUGUCCUCUCCAGGGGAGCAGAAAGCCGCUUUAGGAAGCAGGAGGGGGCUGGAAAAGACAAGGGCUCGGUGCAUUGAAUAAGGCAUCAGACAAGCCCAGAGGGCUCAGGGGGCCCAGUCGGCGUCAGUCCCGCGGGUGACGCUGGCCACCCCCAGCCUGUCCUGCGGCUCCGCCCCAGGAAGGCUCGGCUGGUGUCACAGAGAGGACACGGAAGGGGUCGUGGAUGGGAUGGCUCCGUCAGGACGUGGAAAGCCCACAGAAGGUCCCUCACCUUUGCACUUUCAGUCUGGAGCUCCCGGAGGAAUGCCCUCCUAUGCUGGCUGUUCAGGGGCCGUUUCCUAGAAACGAGGGGCAGCGUGGAGGGCAUGGCGUGGGCGAGCCUGGCACAGGACCCGGGCCCUCGGCACACCGACUUCCCUCCUCCAACCGUCUGCGGCCACCACGCUCCCCAGCCGACUCUCCACCUCUGACCCGGAAGCCCUCCUCGGAAGGCCGCCCCCCUGGGGCUCACGGCCCCGUCUGCCCGAGGACAGGCGCCCGGUGUGACGGCCCACCUGCGGCCACCCACACAAACUGCUGCCCCCACGGUCGUCUCCACUUCUUGCCGCACACCGGGUCACACCCCUGGGACUGGACUCUGUGGCAAGACUGCUGCAGGCCUCCCCCUCUGUGCUGGCCUGGGGACAGAGGGGGACAACAAAGGGCAAAAGAAAGGUGAUACCUGGAAGGGGCUUGGAGUCCUGGCCUUGAGAGGGGUCUUGCUGACCAGGCCCUGAGUUGUGUGAAGCUGUCCUCACAGCAGACGAAGCGCUUCCCCAUGGAGUGAGUCCUUGAAAAUCCAGAACCCUCCUUUUACAAUUAAAGCAGGAACUGCCAUCCCUCCUCA